rnacentral:pre_miRNA from 1 species
UGGACAAAUUAUUAUAUUCGAUUGUAUUCACGACAUGAAAUAAGGGAUUACACUGUUUUAAAACGGAAAGUGAAUCAAUUAACAUAAUAGACUCCU